GAAAUAUUUGGUCGAAAAUAAUG
rnacentral:piRNA from 1 species